UGCUCUCUGUUUCCCUCUUUGCAAAAUGAAGAAAGCAAACCAAGGCUAUGUGCUUACAGGAAAACAAGGCAAUGGGAUGCUGGGAUGCAACUUCUAGAUUAGAAACCCAUUCAUUUGGAGCAUCCCUUUGUGGCAUCUGGAUCUCAUCUCACUUAAGAUCAUAGCAGGGACCAUCAUCCCUGGAACCCGUUUGAUUUUUAUCAGAAGUUUCCAACAUCCUGAAGCAGACAGAAUUUGUUUCAAGGACUCCUCUAAGACCUCCAUCUGAGUUCCUGUUGGUGGGCUUUGAACCCAGUAAAUAAUCAAGCCCUCUGCACUUGACCUACUUCCUCUGCAUGCUUUUCAAGGUUACUACCUAUGAUUGAGAUCCCUUCCAACUCCACGUUUCGACUCCCACUAUGCAAGUGACCUUUUAACAUAUUCUAGCAACUCUUCCAAAGCAGAAACAUGUUCACCACAUACAAAAGCAGUACAAUGUGUGUAGACAUUUGCUAAACCAUGAAUUUGUUUACACAAAAGGUUCAAAAGAACUUUGGAAUGUAGAUGCAUGGAAAGCCUGGGCUUCCGCUAAUGGGACCUCCUAAGGUGAAUCCCAGGAAGUUCUGCCUCCCUAUCAUUCACCAUGAAGGACAGCAGACACUACUUCUACUUUCUUUCUAUGUUUUUUGUUGUUGUUGUCGUCUCCUUCUCUGGCUUGUUUCUGCUGCCACAAAUCUUGGACCAUUCUUCUUAUUCUGUAAUCCCAGAAAUGACCUUUUGUAAAAGAAACAUCCCCCCUUUGCACAAUAAAAUAUAAAUAAAUUGGAAGUUAAAGG